CAAAUUAAAGCUAAAUGAGCAUUAUUAUUUACAUUAAUAAUACGGGUGUGAAAUUCCCCUGAUUUGA
rnacentral:tRNA from 1 species